GAUGAACGCUGGCGGCGUGCCUAAUACAUGCAAGUCGAACGCAGUGGGGACGGGUGAGUAACACCUGGGUAACCUCCCAUCAGAGGGGAUAACACUUGGAAAAAGGUGCUAAACCGAUCCUGUUGGAUGGACCCUCGGUGCAUUAGCUAGUGGGUGAGGGAACGGCUCACCAAGGCCACGAAGCAUAGCCGACCUGAGAGGGUGAACGACCACACUGGGACUGAGAAACGGCCCAGACUCCUAGGGGAGGCAGCAGUAGGGAAUCUUCGGCAAUGGACGAAAGGCUGACCGAGCAAUGCCGCGUGAGUGAAGAAGGUUUUCGGAUCGUAAAGCUCUGUUGUUAGAGAAGCGGUAUCUAACCAGAAAGCCACGGCUAACUACGUGCCAGCAGCCGCGGUAAUUC
rnacentral:rRNA from 1 species